UACACAGCCCCGUGUCAGACUUUGUUGC
rnacentral:piRNA from 1 species